rfam:Triticum aestivum genome assembly, contig: Triticum_aestivum_CS42_TGACv1_scaffold_404569_5BL
AAAGUACUCCCUCCGUCCCAAAAUUCUUGUCUUAGAUUUGUCUAGAUACGGAUGUAUCACGGAUUUAUCUGAUACUAAAAUGUGACUUGAUACAUCCGUAUCUAGGCAAAUCUAAGACAAGAAGUUUGGGACAGAGGGAGUAGUUG